rnacentral:rRNA from 1 species
AUUGAACGCUGGCGGCAGGCCUAACACAUGCAAGUCGAGCGGAGCGGCGGACGGGUGAGUAAUGCCUAGGAAUGUGCCUGGCAGUGGGGGAGAAAGUCCGGCAACGGGCGCUAAUACCGCAUACUCUCAGAUGAGCCUAGGUCGGAUUAGCUAGUUGGUGGGGUAAAGGCCUACCAAGGCGACGAUCCGUAACUGGUCUGAGAGGAUGAUCAGUCACACUGGAACUGAGACACGGUCCAGACUCCUACGGGAGGCAGCAGUGGGGAAUAUUGGACAAUGGGCGAAAGCCUGAUGCAGCCAUGCCGCGUGUGUGAAGAAGGUCUUCGGAUUGUAAAGUUCUUUCAGUUGGGAGGCGUUACCAACAGAAUAAGCACCGGCUAACUUCGUGCCAGCAGCCGCGGUAAUAC